UGGGAAGCCUUUGAGACCUCUUGGCAGGGA
rnacentral:piRNA from 1 species